rnacentral:rRNA from 1 species
CGUGUAGGUGGUUCUGUAAGUAGGGCGUGAAAGCUCCCGGCUCAACUGGGAGAGGCCGUUCUAAACUGCAGAGCUAGAGGAUGGUAGAGGGAGGUGGAAUUCCAGGUGUAGCGGUGGAAUGCGCAGAUAUCUGGAGGAACACCAGUGGCGAAAGCGGCCUCCUGGACCAUUCCUGACACUCAGACGCGAAAGCUAGGGUAGCAAACG